GUGAUGAAGGUCUUCGGAUCGUAAAACUCUGUUAUUAGGGAAGAACAUAUGUGUAAGUAACUGUGCACAUCUUGACGGUACCUAAUCAGAAAGCCACGGCUAACUACGUGCCAGCAGCCGCGGUAAUACGUAGGUGGCAAGCGUUAUCCGGAAUUAUUGGGCGUAAAGCGCGCGUAGGCGGUUUUUUAAGUCUGAUGUGAAAGCCCACGGCUCAACCGUGGAGGGUCAUUGGAAACUGGAAAACUUGAGUGCAGAAGAGGAAAGUGGAAUUCCAUGUGUAGCGGUGAAAUGCGCAGAGAUAUGGAGGAACACCAGUGGCGAAGGCGACUUUCUGGUCUGUAACUGACGCUGAUGUGCGAAAGCGUGGGGAUCAAACAGGAUUAGAUACCCUGGUAGUCCACGCCGUAAACGAUGAGUGCUAAGUGUUAGGGGGUUUCCGCCCCUUAGUGCUGCAGUUAACGCAUUAAGCACUCCGCCUGGGGAGUACGACCGCAAGGUGAAACUCAAAGGAAUUGACGGC
rnacentral:rRNA from 1 species